AAUGAAGAGCCUGAUUAAAGGAUUAUCGUGAUAGGAUAAAAUAUGUAAUUUAACAUUACCUUCAUUA
rnacentral:tRNA from 1 species